GACGAACGCUGGCGGCGUGCCUAAUACAUGCAAGUCGAGCGGUAAGGCCCUGUUCUUGUACCGACUUCGUGAGGCGCACACGUGUGAAUAACGUGUGUAACAUCCCCCUGUCAUUGGGAUACAACAUGGAGAAACGGGUGCUUACCCGACAUAAGAACCUGAAGCACAGGGUGGAUGGUUAAAUUUCGCCGGUUGAGGACGCACUGGCGGCUUAUCAGCUUGUUGGUGGGGUAGUGGCUUACCAAGGCAUUGACGGGUAGCCGGCCUGAGAGGGUGACCGGCCACAUUGGGACUGAGAUACGGCCCAGACUCCUACGGGAGGCAGCAGUGGGGAAUAUUGCACAAUGGGCGGAAGCCUGAUGCAGCAACGCCGCGUGCGGGAUGACGGCCUUCGGGUUGUAAACCGCUUUCGCCUGUGACGAAGCGUGAGUGACGGUAAUGGGUAAAGAAGCACCGGCUAACUACGUG
rnacentral:rRNA from 1 species